rnacentral:rRNA from 1 species
AACGAACGCUGGCGGCAGGCCUAAAACAUGCAAGUCGAACGGGUGUAGCAAUACAUCAGUGGCGCACGGGUGAGUAACGCGUGGGAACGUGCCCUUCAGUACGGGACAACGUCGGGAAACUGACGCUAAUACCGUAUAAUAUCUCCCGAUCAAAGAUUUAUCGCUGAAGGAUCGGCCCGCGUCUGAUUAGUUUGUUGGUGAGGUAACGGCUCACCAAGACUACGAUCAGUAGCUGGUCUGAGAGGAUGAUCAGCCACACUGGGACUGAGACACGGCCCAGACUCCUACGGGAGGCAGCAGUUAGGAAUAUUGGACAAUGGGGGAAACCCUGAUCCAGCCAUGCCGCGUGUGUGAUGAAGGCCUUAGGGUUGUAAAGCACUUUCGUUGGGGAUGAUAAUGACCGUACCCAAAGAAGAAGCCACGGCUAAAUUCGUGCCAGCCGCCGCCGUAA